ensembl:lncRNA
CCGGAUUAAAAAGCAGAAAACUGUAACUCGUGUGCAGGUGCCCGAGUCUUCACCUGUGCGCGUGAAAGUUACUGAUUGCGUAAUGAUCGGCUAUGAUGAUGUCAUGUGGGGUCGGGGGCGUGGUCACCGCCCUGCUCUCUCGCGGUGACGUCCACAUCGUGUACUGACACCCGGUCUCAUGUUAAGGUGCCAUUUCUGGGAUGUCUUACUCGGUUAAUCCUCUCUAAUGACGGACCUGUAACCCUGCGUAAACCUGUGGUAUCCUUCAGUAGCUGCGUUUGCAUGGACAACAAUAAUCCCCUCUUAAUCCGAUUAAGACCAUACUCUAAUUAAGAAACUACCAUGUAAACAGCAAUUUUUACUUACCUUAAUCUAAUUAAGGUCAUAAUUUAAGUAAGCAAUAAUCUAAUUAAGACAGGUGGAGUACUCCUGUUUUAGUCGCAUUAUGGAUGAGUAUUACAGACAUGUAAACACCUUAAUCACAUUAUGAACGUCUUGUGAGAGUUUUCACCGCAUUUUGCGACAGGACACGAUCACACACGGCAGUUUUACGUUUUACGGCGAACAAGAGAGUUCGGCCGCGUCCCAAACCGCAUACUUUCCUACUAUAGGUCUGUAGUGGGGGAAAAUACAUGUAUCUCGGCUACUAUAUAGACGAGAAGUACGCAGUUUGAGACGCAGCCCACCGCUUCAAGCAGUCGUCUAUUAGCACGUACAGCAUGACAAAUAUUUAACUGCACUUAAAGCGUUCGUAAAUAAAAUAAAUAAAAACACCCAAAACUGUACACGGUCCCAUAACGAAGACCAACUGUAAGUUGAUACGUGAAAUUCUGGAGUGACGUCAGACGGCGUGGCGCGGUGACGUAAUGACGCGGGCUGUUAAUCUAAUUAUGAUCUAUAACAUGUAAAACGGGAACAUGACAGGAGUAUUCUAAAAGCGACGCAUGUAAACACCUUAAUCCCAUUAUUAUCUUACUCAGAGUAAGGUCAAUAAUUACAUUACUGUUGUCCAUGUAAACGUAGUCAAUGUAAUAAACGGAGAACAGCACUUUCACUUUGUGUCCGGAUGAGUUAUAUUCACUUUCCUGAGAAACCCGUGAGGAUCUAGCCGGAUCCUUACAACGCGCAGGAAGUUCUAGACCUGUCGCGAGACUCAGUUCUGAAGUAAAGCAGCAUUGUCUGACUAAAACCGCUUUAAACUGGCCGCGCGCCUCUUCUUCUUCUUGGUGAUUGGAAAGGUGCACGUGCGCCCCCUACUGAGAUGGAGAAUGGAGCAUCAAUGUGGAGUAAAUAAAAAGCACAACAAAGAAGAACUAGUUUAAAAUAAAUACAUAAGAUUAAAUUUAAAUGAGGUUUGUUGUCUUUAAAAAGUCUAGUAACCUCUUGGGAACUUGUUAAUAAAUUCUGAAGUGAUAAACCAUUUGUACCCAAUGACUUGAUCUGAUUUUGUAACAUGAAGCGUUCAUUAUUCUAUCUGAUGCACUGCAGUAAAACAUGCCCACUGUCUCUGGGUGAUCACAUGUCCUGGGUCAUCUCUGUCCUACAUGGAGACAGGAAAUGACCAGAUCUUCUCUUCUAUUUCCACAGACCAUGGCCUCCUUCCCUUUGUGUACUAUACAAGUGUCUACCACAUCUACCACAUUCUUACCACAUCCCUUUAUUUCCCUUUUUUAUUAACCCUUUGAUUUAGAAUUUGCUUAAAGUAAUAUUUAGUACUAUUUCUGAAGGUAUUUUCCAAGGUCUUCUUGGCUGAAGCGUAUGCUUCCUCGUUCCCUUCCACCCCUACAUGAGAUGGAACCCAUACUAAGAACAUUUCUGUACCUUGAUCUUGUACCCUGAAUGUUGUUUGUAGGAUUUCAAUGAGUAUCUCUUGUCUUGAUGUAGAUUUAGCAAACAUUUUGCUUAUUAACACGGAAUAGGAGUCUGAGCAGGUUACCACAUUAAGAGGACUCAUAUGCGCCACCCACUGGACUGCCAACGAAACUGCAUCAUCUCUGUUCUGUAAACAGAUCAAAGAUUUGAUGUCCUUUUACUUAUUGUAUAUUUGAAUGUAGGAAUGAUCACUGCUGAAGAUGUUCAUCCAGAUUCUGGAUCUUUUGAUCCAUCUGUAUAUACGUGUAUACAGUGACUACAUUUCAUAUCCAGAUGUUGCCUCACUUCCAUCUCCUUUGAAACAUAUCUUUGUUUAUCUAGAAAGACGUUUUUCAUCUGAAGAUCAUCUGAAGGAUAAUGAUAUAAUCAUGGUGGUAUAAUAGGCAUUGCUACUGUAGGGCUAACUUCUAGAUCAAUAAUUCCCAUUCUCUGUGCUCAUCAUCAGCUCUCCAUCCAUAACUUUCCAACUCGGAAUAUUCAUCUUCCCAGAUUUUCUCCAGGACUUUUAACUGGUGAUUAUUUUCAUGACUCUAAUGGCAUUUCCCCCAUUUCUACUCGUAAUGAUGCACAAUACCCAUAAUGCACUUUGAUGUUUGUAUGGAGGAGAAACUUGAAGUGGAGUUUUGCAGAUACACAACACUGCGUGCAGGACGUCUCUCACUCGACCUUCUGUUCCUCCUGAGGUUUUAAACCAGAACCAUAAAGAGGACGGUGUGAAAGGCGGCGGGAAUAAUACUGAAGAAAUGAAAGGUAGAUGGAGAUGGAUAUGGAGAGAGUGAAGGGCGUGUACAGAUGAGAGAAUCACGUGACAGUGUGUGGGCGUGGCAGUGUGUGUUCUCUCCCAGAGACUGGAUCAUCAAGCCAGGACCAGCAGAUUUAAAGCUUCCUGAAUCUCAGUAACUUCACAUCAUUCACACGCAAACUGAAAUUAGAACUCGGAUGAACACGCUGUCGAACUCUGGGAGAAGAGUUUCUGUCUUAGCGUUAAAGAACACUUUUUUAUAAAGUGUCGAGUUGUGAGAAUCAGCAUUUGUCAUGAAGAUACCAAUCACUCCGAGUCUCCUGACUCUGCUGUUAUCCUGAAGAAACACUGAUCAAGGUUCUUCAGCAUGUUUUGUGCUUUGUACGGAUCCAGGAAUUCGAUUCAGGUUGAUGAGGAAAUGACUGAAUACGAUGACGGUGAGAUCUGUAUAUAAACAUCUGUAUAAAGGACAAUCCUGAUCUAUAAAGUGUUGAAUAAAGAGAUGGGAUUAUCUUCUCAGCUGGUUAAUGCUGAAGGUCACGCAGGUUUCAGUAAAAUAUUGCAGUGACUGAAAGGGAGUGUGCUGUGAUGGUGGUGUUUCCAACAGAGGUGUGUGUAAUGAUCUACAGUACAGGAUCUCCGUCUCCUCACCGGUUACUGCUGUGAAUGACUCCGGGAUAAAUUUACUGCUUCUCCAAAAUCUCUUGUAGAAAUGGAACAAGUGCUGGAACGCUCACAGACUGACACGCGUGUGGUGCGAAUCUGGCAGGAGACACAGAUUGGGUAGCGAGAUCCAGUGUUCCAACACACAUAUAAAACAAAAGACCAACAGAACACAGGAUUUACACACCGAAUAAUCACACAACCACGCCGCUAACAAACAUGCAGUUUAAGGGUUUUAAAAUAUAUUUUUUAAUAUAUGCCUCGAUAUUAUAUAAAAUACAGUUUAUAAAAGUGAAAAACACAUGUGUAAAAUAUAGAUUUCUUCAUUCUAAUAAAAACCACAGUGCACUUUUCAUAUUAAAAUACAGUACCGCUUUAGAAAUGCUCAUACCCUCAUUUAAAUAUCUUUACUCCUUGAGGGUCGUGUUCAGAGUCAGCAGCACAUCUGGAGAACAAUCUGAUCAAGCACUCGCUAGAAUUUAAUACAACUGAAAUUCUUCAUUUUAUCCAUAAAAGACUCAAAGUAAUAAUUUACAUGUAUUUACAUUUACAGUAUUUGGUAGAUGUGCUUAUCCAAAGCGACUCACAUUUCUCUCAUUUAUACACCUGAGCAGGUGAGGGUCAAAGGCCAUCCUCACGGGGUCUUCUCUACUGCUCUCAGUGGACAGUGUUUCCAUUCUGCUGGAGGAGAGGGAGUCCGUUGUUCUCAGCAUUUUCACGGAGCUGCUGAUUUUCUCUCCUCAGACGCACAUGCAUCACCAACAGGACCACAAAUGCAGAUACAACCAGCAUCAGUAUCAGUAUCAGUAUCAGUACAAUCCCCCACACUGGUACACCUUCCUGCUGCUUGAUGUCUGGACACGGCUCUGUAAAACACACAGAGAGAGAAACGACCCUGUGCAGCCUACAGCCUUCUGUUCUUUCCACAUCAAACCUCUACAUCAUCCAUUAUUCCAGGAUUGACCAUCAACACAUCUGACUCAGUGCAGUGUGCACACUGGUCCUGUGUGUGUGUGUGUGUGUGUGUG